rnacentral:lncRNA from 1 species
AUCAGCACCCGUGUUAAAGGAGUACCUGAUGAAUGGAAAGGAUGGAACACACUCCAGGAAUAAUUUAAGUCUCUCUCAGGGAGAAAUCUCCAGCUCUGGUCCCCUACCAGCAGCACAGGGAACUGUGGAGUCAGCUUUACCCUCUGUCACCAUGGAGGAGCUACCCUCCACCUCGCCAUCAACACCUUGGCCAGCACCAACAGUGCCACCCCAACCCAUCACCUCCCGUCCUGCACCAUCUCACUCUGGCUCUACACCCCAACCCAUCACCUCCCGUCCUGCACCAGCUCACUCAAUCCAGGCUCAAUCAAUGAAUCAAAUUUAUUUUAUAAAGCCCUUUUUACAUCAGCAGUUGUCACAAAGUGCUUUACAAAUACCUAGCUUAAAACCCCAAAUAGCAAGCAAUGCAGAUGCACUCUCUGGCUGUAAACCCCAACCCAUCACCUCCUGUCCUGCACCAUCUCACUCCAUCCACUCUGGCUCUACACCCCAACCCAUCACCUCCUGUCCUGCACCAUCUCACUCUGGCUCUACACCCCAACCCAUCACCUCCUGUCCUGCACCAUCUCACUCCAUCCACUCUGGCUCUACACCCCAACCCAUCACCACCUGUCCUGCACCAUCUCACUCUGGCUCUACACCCCAACCCAUCACCUCCUGUCCUGCACCAUCUCACUCCAUCCACUCUGGCUCUACAUCCCAACCCAUCACGUCUGGCUGGACACCACAGGGCCCCCAAGCCAAUCUGUUCCAACAAAUCCUGGACACACAAACACAACAAAUCCAUGUUACACAGACCGCCCAACACAUCCACCAAGCUCUUUAUGAUUUAUUACAAAAAGCACAUGAAACACAGAAGGCACACCUGGAUGUGGAGAAGAACCGGCUCCAGCUGGAUAGAGAGCGCUUGAGGGUGGAGACAGAGCGCCUGCAGGUGGAGAGGGAGCGCCUUCAGCUGGAGAAGGAUCGCCUGGGGGAAGGGGAGGCCCGGGAGGUGCUUCGGCAGCUCUCUGUCUCCGGGUCAGUCGCCCUAGAACACCAGACGCCUGUGAGUUCAAGAACUGCCAGUGCCUCCCCCACCCUUCCUCUGGGAACACCAUCAGCCUCCAUGUCCAGUCCCCUCACAUUAAUAUCACCUACUGCACCACACUUUGAUUUCUUAUUUUCCCCAUUCCCAUUACCGGUAAUCACAACCCAUUCCACCCAGCCUUCACAAACUGCCCCAACCCCCCUACCUUAACCAGCCCUGCCCCAACCUCCCCUACCUUAACCAGCCCUGCCCCAACCUCCCCUACCUUAACCAGCCCUGCCCCAACCUCCCCUACCUUAACCAGCCCUGCUCCAACCACCCCUACCUUAACCGUUUCUGCCCACUCUCUCAUCCCUACAAUCUCCGGAUCUGUUAAACGGCGAGUUCAGGAGACAGUCCGGCCUUGGUCUACACCCACU